AGUUGAUCCUGGCUCAGGAUGAACGCUGGCGGCGUGCCUAACACAUGCAAGUCGAACGAAGCACUUUGUAGAUCCUUCGGGUGAAACAUUAGUGACUGAGUGGCGGACGGGUGAGUAACGCGUGGGUAACCUGCCCUGUACAGGGGGAUAACAGUCAGAAAUGACUGCUAAUACCGCAUAAGCGCACGAGAGGACAUCCUCAUGUGUGAAAAAACUCCGGUGGUACAGGGAUGGGCCCGCGUCUGAUUAGCUAGUUGGCGGGGUAAGGGCCCACCAAGGCGACGAUCAGUAGCCGGUCUGAGAGGAUGAACGGCCACAUUGGAACUGAGACACGGUCCAAACUCCUACGGGAGGCAGCAGUGGGGAAUAUUGCACAAUGGGGGGAACCCUGAUGCAGCCAACGCCGCGUGAGUGAAGAAGUAUUUCGGUAUGUAAAGCUCUAUCAGCAGGGAAGAUAAUGACGGUACCUGACUAAGAAGCUCCGGCUAAAUACGUGCCAGCCGCCGC
rnacentral:rRNA from 1 species